CUUUCCAUUAGCUGACUGUUGUACUAGACUGCUUUGGUAAUGUUAGUUACAAAUAAAUGUUUUUGCUGAAAGAGCUCCCUUGAUGUUGCUUGUAAAACAGAAGGCAGCGUAAAGGAACCAAGUAGGUGGAGAAUACAUCAGUCCUCAGAAGAGCCUCCCACUGCUGGCCUCGAAAGCCUGCCUUUAACCUCCAUGCAAGGCCAGAAUUUAGGCCAUUUCCAGGUGAUGAACCCCAGCUAAUCCUCAAUACACGUGGCAGUAAACUUAAACCAUCCUGUUGUAAGAAGAUUUACCAUGGUUCACUCCUUUGAUGAUUGACAUCUUACCGAUGUGAAAGAGGAAGCAAGGUCAAUGGCCGGUCACUGAGAAGAGAAGUGGGGCAUCGAAAGCUUGAGCACAAGAAACAGGAAUGACAGAUUGCAAAGGUUUUGACUUGUUAAAAAUGUCUUAUUUUUAAUAUCGUAAUAAAAAAUCAAAUAAACAUGUGCCUUCAAAUGUUGACCUGUGAAGAAAAGCAGGCUCCACGCGAGGGAUCCCGCUUGCUCCGGGAAGGAGCCGCUGCUCUCCCAGGACCAUUUCUCUGCAGAGUCUGAGAAACUCCCAGACUGCUUCCUGUCCUACCGUCCUCAGAAACAGAGGUAGCACCACAGCCAGCGUGUGCAGUAUUGCUUCCGACGGGCCUCAGGGCAGUGAGACAGGAGCCUUCUGCAGCCAAGGGAAGCCCUUCCCCCACCACAAGACACUGGCAGGUGCUGCAUUUAGGCGAAAGCCACCGUCGGCAGCAGCACUCUUAGGGGUCGGCCGCGCGAUAACUCCGGAUGUACGGGGAGCACUGAUUAGCCUUCCAGCUUCAGGGCCUGGAAUCCAGGCACCGUGGGUGUUUCAAAACCACGGUACUGCAACUUGCCGCCCACGCUGGCCACCUCACUUCACCCAGUGCCUUUGCACACUGGCCGGGGGGUGCAAUGUUGAUAUUCCCCUGGCUGAAGCUGCUGCUACAGGAUGGGGAGAGGCUUCAGACUUCCGGCAGCCGCUGCUCUGCCCAGUCAUUUGAUAGUGCAAUACAUAAGUAAAUUUGAUUUGCAAACUUAUUUUCAGCACAAAAUUGGCCAGGGGAGCCGCCAAUUUUCUCUUUGGCCCCUUUUCCCAAAUCACGCGUCUGAUGCUCUCGUAGCAAGCCCCGACAAGAGGAUAAACGUGCCAAUAAUUUGUUCGAUUUCAUAUGAGACGAUUAUCGACCCUCUCCCAGCCCAGCCGGAGUUCCCCCGGAGCUGGUCUCAUUUCUUGACGGACCCCUGUGCCUGCUGAUUUGUUAACUGAGUUACACCGGGGCCAGAACACCAGAACCCAGCCGUACGGAGUGAGAAAGUGAGAGCCGUGAAGGAUAACCCAAAGGCGACCCUGAUGACAGGAAGUCACUCGGAGGGCGACGCCACAUCAGCCUGCGAGCUGCAGCGCUCACGGAGCCGGAGCCGCCGGCAGCAGGACCGCGGGUCACUUCCGAGCAGUGACCCCGCGCCCUGGCUCCUCUCCCGGUAGUCCCUCCUCUGUCGCCCAGCACGGCCAUCGAGACGCAGGGCUCUGUGACUCAGCUGUCACGACCUCUCCGGGCAAGGUCCCCUUCGUGUUUUGCGGGCCAGGGCAGCCAAUCUGCAUGCACAGUCCUUAUCAGCCAAGCAGAGGGCCAGCAGCUGCCACUUCCCAGGGAAGCCAGGAGUCCCCGGGUCAGCAGGGAAGGGCUUCCUGCGAGGACACCACGUGUAAAGUCCUCUGGGACGACAGGCAUUCGGAGGAUGUGAGUUAUCACGGCAAAGCUCUCCCGGGCUUCUCCGACUUGAUAUAAAUAACCGUGUCCUGGCGGCAGCUGGAGGAGAGCCAAUCGGUAAUGAAUACUAGCACAAACAAACAGGCCUCCGGGACGCCGGCCCAGCCACGGCAAACCGCGGCUGGCAUCUGCUCCGAGGUGCUGGGUGGGCGAGGCUGCGCCCACAGCACUGCAUUCAUCGCGGGAGGCAACGGGGGAGGGGCGCGGGAGUGGAGAAUCCCGCCCCCGGCUGGGACAGCGUCCUCUGGUCCUCAGCCUAAGCAAACCCAAGUCCUCGCUGGAUAAAAGCUUCCUGCUCUGAGGCCCUCGAGGUCCCCACAAAUUCAGAUCAAUGAAAUGAGUUCAGAAUCAAGGAACAUGGAAAAGCUGCAAGCCAUGAUGGGUGAGACUCGGCAAGAAAAUGAACAACAAAAUUAGUCCCCGCUCCCUCCGGUAAUACCUAGACUCAAAAUGUAAAGCAAUGGGGCUGGCGUUGUGGUGUAGCCGGUAAAGCCAUCGCCCGUAACACCAGCAUCCCAUAUGGGCGCUGGGUUGAGUCCUGGCUGCUCCACUUUGAUCUGGCUCCCUGUUUAUGUGCCUGGAAGAGCAGCAGAAGAUGGCCCAAGUUCUUGGCCCCUGCCACCCACCUGGGAAGACCCAGAGGAAGCUCCUGGCUCCUGGCUUCAGACCUGUGCAACUCUGGCCGUUGCGGCCAAUUGGAGAGUGAACCAGAGGAUGGAAUAUCUCUUUAUCUCUCUGUAUCUCCUUCUCUGUGUAACUCUGACUUUCAAAUAAAUAAAUCAAUCUUUGUUUUAAAAAAGUUCAUAGCGAAGCAAGCAUUUGGCUUAUCAUUUUUUUUAAGAUUUAUUUAUUUAUUUGAAAGUCAGAGUUACACAGAGAGAGGAGAGGGAGAGAGAGAAAGAGAAAGAGGUCUUCCAUCUGCUAAUUCACUCCCCAGUUAGCUGCAACGGCCGGUAAUGUGCUGAUCUGAAGCCAGAAGCCAGGAGCUUCUUCCAGGUCUCCCAUGCGGGUGCAGGGGCCCAAAGAUUUGGGCCAUCCUCCACUGCUUUCCUAGGCCAUUAGCAGAGAGCUGGAUUGAAAUCAGAGCAGCCGGGACCCAAACUGGCGCCCAUAUGGGAUGCCGGCACGGCAGGCGGUGGCUUUAUCCAUUAUGCCACAGCGCUGGCCCCUUGGCUUAUCAUUGAAGACGUGGUUUGAGAUGCUCACAUCCCGUAUCGGAGGGCUUAGGUCUGAGUCCUGACUCCACUUCCUGAUUCCAGCUGCCUGCUAACGUGCACCCUGGGAAGCGCAGGUACUGGUUCCCACCCACUUGGGAGACGUGGACUGAGUUUCCGCUCCCAGCUCCAACCUGGCCCAGCCCUGGCCACUGCAGGCAUUUGGAGAAUGAAUCAGUGGUAGGAGCACUGUCACACAGUGCUCACCAUCUCUUUCUACUUCUUGCUCUCUGCAACUCUGCCUUUCAAAUAAAUAAAAUAAAUCUUAAAAAAAAAAUAUCUGGGGGACCGGCGCUAUGGUGGCCUGAGGCACCAGCAUCCCAUAUGGGCACCAGUUCGAGACCCAGCUGCUCCACUUCCAAUCCAGCUCUCUGCUAUGGCCUGGGAAAGCAGUAGAAGAUGGCCCAAGUCCUUGGGCCCCUGCACCCACAUGAGAGACCCGGAAGAAGUUCCUGGCUCCUGGCUUCAGAUCGGUGCAGCCAAUUGGGGAG